rnacentral:rRNA from 1 species
UACGUAGGGUGCAAGCGUUAAUCGGAAUUACUGGGCGUAAAGCGUGCGCAGGCGGUUAUGCAAGACAGAUGUGAAAUCCCCGGGCUCAACCUGGGAACUGCAUUUGUGACUGCAUGGCUAGAGUGCGGCAGAGGGGGAUGGAAUUCCGCGUGUAGCAGUGAAAUGCGUAGAUAUGCGGAGGAACACCGAUGGCGAAGGCAAUCCCCUGGGCCUGCACUGACGCUCGAUGCACGAAAGCGUGGGAGCAAACAGG